rnacentral:rRNA from 1 species
GACGAACGCUGGCGGCGUGCUUAACACAUGCAAGUCGAACGGAAAGGCCCUGCUUUUGUGGGGUGCUCGAGUGGCGAACGGGUGAGUAACACGUGAGUAACCUGCCCUUGACUUUGGGAUAACUUCAGGAAACUGGGGCUAAUACCGGAUAGGAGCUCCUGCUGCAUGGUGGGGGUUGGAAAGUUUCGGCGGUUGGGGAUGGACUCGCGGCUUAUCCGCUUGUUGGGGGGGUAGUGGCUUACAAGGGCUUUGACGGGUAGCCGACCUGAGAGGGUGACCGGCGACAUUGGGACUGAGAUACGGCCCAGACUCCUACGGGAGGCAGCAGUGGGGAAUAUUGCACAAUGGGCGGAAGCCUGAUGCAGCAACGCCGCGUGCGGGAUGCCGGCCUUCGGGUUGUAAACCGCUUUCGCCUGUGACGAAGCGUGAGUGACGGUAAUGGGUAAAGAAGCACCGGCUAACUACGUG